rnacentral:rRNA from 1 species
UACUCCUACGGGAGGCAGCAGCUAAGAAUAUUCCGCAAUGGACGAAAGUCUGACGGAGCGACGCCGCGUGGAUGAAGAAGGCCGAAAGGUUGUAAAAUCCUUUUGCUGGGGAAGAAUAAGUCUGGGAGGGAAUGCCCGGAUGAUGACAUGAACCGGCGAAUAAGCCCCGGCCAACUACGUGCCAGCAGCCGCGGUAACACGUAGGGGGCGAGCGUUGUUCGGAAUUACUGGGCGUAAAGGGCAUGUAGGCAGUUUUGUAAGCUUGGCGUGAAAGUCCACGGCUCAACUGUGGGAUAGCGUUGAGAACUGCGAAGCUUGAGUUAUGGAGAGGGAGCUAGAAUUCCUGGUGUAGGGGUGGAAUCUGUAGAGAUCAGGAAGAAUACCAAUGGCGAAGGCAAGCUCCUGGCCGAUGACUGA